GCUGCUACAUUACGAGUUACGACAGCUUCCUGCAAAUGGAUCUGAAUGUAAUGAAAUUAUUGCCUGAUACAAACACAGAAAGACGACAAAACCAAUAUUGUAGCAUAAUUAUAAAGGCUACACAUGCGUACAAUAAAGGUUCCGUGCCCCUUCCAAAUUAUAAUAACAUUUGCUGACAAGGAAUUAUAUCAAGGAAGUAGUUCCUUGUUAUGUAAUCCAGCUAUGGAACAGGGUAAAGAAGGGGGGCAAAGGUGUCUGAAAUCAUGUCCAAUCAAUCUUUACACCAGAGAUGCACAAAUCAGCCCUCUCAACAAAGAUUCUAUAUUGCAACUCUCUUUAUAAUCCUCCUCUCUCUCUCUGCUUUCCUUCUCCACUCACAUACUGCAUGCCCUCUGGCCUUGUGCCAGGAAAAGCAAAACAGCGUGAGAAGAAAUAAAAAGAUCAGAUGUCCGUUUCCAUCUGUAAGCAAACAGUGAAUAUGAUGCCCACAUACACACAAAUAGUCAAAAGUUAAAGAACAAACAUGUACUACGUCUUUUUACCCAUUCACACCAAUUCACCACCACAACACUAUAAUGAGUGCUGAGAAAAAAAAGCAAAAGAAAAACGAGUCUAAGUGGUGGGUGAGGCAAUGACCAUGAUUGUGCCUGUGCUUCUAUAUCCAACCAUGUCUUCCCGAUUUCCUGCAUACCCCAACGCGCAUAACCCCACUUCCAAAAACCAAAAUAUGGCCAUAUCCCCACUUUCUUAGAUGCAAAGCAAUAAACCAUAAUCAUUUAGUGAUAACCACCUUAUAUAUUAACAUUAUUAUAUACAGGCUCUCUCCUUUUGUUUCUUUUUUUGUUCUGAUACCUGUCCAUUACUGAUAACAGACACAGCUAAAAGGGUGGAUAUGCAUGCUAUAUCAAUACAUAAGGAGAACACAUACAGCGAGAUAUAUCAAGUUUAACCUCAUUGACUGUACUCCUGGCGGCCUCGGGGCAGAACAGGUGCACUUCUUUGGUGUGCUCUUGCUAUGUACCUUCAAGAAACUUUAUCAACAAAGGUGAAGAAAGCAACAAAACUGAGAGGGGAUCCUUCGCAGAAAAGAAAGAAUAUGGGGUCAUGGAAGAAGUCAGUACUUAUGAAUCAGUACAGGAUCAUCAAAAGAGCAAUGGUGGAAGAAAUAGUAGAAGCAGUAGUCUUAGUGGGUCUAAUAAUGGACCUCGCUUAGAAACUUCUACUCUCAAGAGUAAUCUCAAGAAAACUGCUUCUACUACUACAAUUGAGGAAAAUCAAGCAGGGACAGAUCAUCAAAAGAGGAAAGUAAGUUGGCCUGAUAUUGCAUAUGGCACAGAUAUUGCUCAUGUUCUUGAAUUUGAACCGAGCAUCUCUGAUGAUGGAGAACUUGAAGGAGCAAGGAAUUCUUGUGUUUGUACAAUUCAAUGAACAAGAAAUCCUGGCAUAGAUGGAUCUCCUGGUGAUGCAAUUCUUCAAGAGCAUUUCACAGUAUUCACAUUCUUGUAUUUAUUAACAUAGAAUAAGUCCUCUAGAACAUUGAAGAUAGAAAACGUGUAGAAAACAAAAGGGCUGUGAAAAUUUUCGAGGAUUCUUUUAUUUAAUGCUUGCCCAUGUUGCACGACUA